rnacentral:lncRNA from 1 species
GUAACGCCCGUUUAUUUUAUUUUUGGUAGAGUUUAGAGUCCUAUUUAAUUGAUUUAUGUGAUUAUGUGAUUUGUUUAUUUAAUUAAAUGGUUUUAUUAAUAGUUAGUAAGAAUAAGAUAGGAAUUAGAAUAUUUUAGAAUUAAGGGGGCAGAUGUGUAAUUAAGAGGAAACAAAAGAAAUUAGUGGGAAUUAAUCAAAANN